rnacentral:rRNA from 1 species
UACGUAGGGUGCGAGCGUUAAUCGGAAUUACUGGGCGUAAAGAGUGCGUAGGCGGUCCCGCAAGUCCGCUGUGAAAGCCCCGGGCUUAACCUGGGAAUGGCAGUGGAAACUAUGGGACUUGAAUCUGGCAGAGGGGGGUGGAAUGCCACGUGUAGCAGUGAAAUGCGUAGAUAUGCGGAGGAACACCGAUGGCGAAGGCAAUCCCCUGGGCCUGCACUGACGCUCAUGCACGAAAGCGUGGGGAGCAAACAGG